CAACACGGGAAAGUAUAGAUAUGAUUGGAUUGGAUUUGAGUCGCAACUUAGUAAGGAAAGCGCCUAAGGCGUCUGUCAGCCGGUUCGUGAUGAUUCGUUGUGCGGGAAAGACCCGGAGCGGAACGACUAUUACUGAAGCUUUCGACGAGGACCCGGACUUCAUGCCUGAUCGAGGGAGGGUCGAUGAUAGUAGUGUGGGGUAUGGGUGGUUAGAGUCUUUUGGAGUUGGCUGUUACUGUAAUAGCUCUGAUUCGUUUUGCUUUUGGGACAGGGUAGGUUCCCGAUGCAUGGCUUUUUGUGUGAUUCUCUUGCGGAGGGAUCACAGUGAGUCAGUCGGACCAUAGGGGUCUUUGCUUAGGCCAUUUUGAGGCCGACUUUCUCCUGGUGGUUUGUAAUUAUACUUUUUCUCACUCACACUUCUGGAUCUGUAAAUAUUUGCCUACGGGCACACUACUUUGGAGUCACUGCGAGUGUGUGGGGCGUGGAAGUGCAGCUGAGGCUGUACAUGUUUAUAUUUGAUGUAUAUUGGUUAGUUUAGUAGUUGUGUUUUGUCUUUA